rnacentral:rRNA from 1 species
AUUGAACGCUGGCGGCAGGCCUAACACAUGCAAGUCGAGCGAGCGGCGGACGGGUGAGUAAUGUCUGGGAAACUGCCUGAUGGAGGUGGAUAACUACUGGAAACGGUAGCUAAUACCGCAUACCAUCAGAUGUGCCCAGAUGGGAUUAGCUAGUAGGUGGGGUAACGGCUAACCUAGGCGACGAUCCCUAGCUGGUCUGAGAGGAUGACCAGCCACACGGGAACUGGGACACGGUCCAGACUCCUACGGGAGGCAGCAGUGGGGAAUAUUGGACAAUGGGGGCAAGCCUGAUGCAGCCAUGCCGCGUGUGGGAAGAAGGCCUUCGGGUUGUAAAGCACUUUCAGCGGGGAGGCGUUACCCGCAGAAGAAGCACCGGCUAACUCCGUGCCAGCCGCCGCGGUAAUAC